GGAGCUGGCACCUAACCUGUAAGAUGUAAUUAGCCAGCAGAGUUCUUCAGCUUGCUAGGGGACCCAGGUACUUUUGUUGUAGUAAUUAGAAAUCUGGUGUCCUGGAAGAUCGCCUUUCUUCUUGCUAAUGUUAGCAGCCAGCUCCCAGCAUUCUUGGAAAGGCUGAUGAAAUGCUCAUUUUAAAUGCAAAUUCUUUGCACGGUUAGGAGGAAAAUGAAAUUGUUCUGGCUCCCAGCAGCACUCACUCUGCAUUUUUGCCAUUCCUUCUGAUGGCCGAGGGGAGGGCUCAUGACUAAACCCUUCAGCAUCUUUAUUAUGAUUUCGGAUUUGAACUUGCUGAGAGGAAGCCUUGGCCCCAGGAUGUUAACUCUCUGCUGCCAAGUGACAGCAUGUGGGUGCCUGCGUGAAGGCUCUGAGAGUUUUCACUAGUCCUCCGUACACCAGCAAAUGCUCUCCGGAUUCUACGGAUGAUGGAUGUCCCAAGGAACUUAUGGUUCCCCCCUUCCCCCUUUUGUCCUUUAUGGAAUUCUGAUCAGAGACUGAGACUCCUUGCGUUGCAGAAUCUCCAAAGUCCCUUCUUCUUCUAAAAUUUGUGGUUGGAACAGAAAAGACACGUUUGGGGUAUAAUCUUGGCUAAGGCCAGUCCCUGGCAGAGGAGCACAGAACUCCUAGAGACAAAGCCAUUGUUCUGACAAUGACUGUGGCUACCCUUCGCCAGCAGCCACGUUGUGCAAGGUGACAUUUUGUAUGAUGUAAG
rnacentral:lncRNA from 1 species